CUGCUGGUGAGACGAUGUGUUAACAGGAAACCUGAAGAUCAAGAUGAACCUGUAGAAGAUGACAUCACAUAUGGCGACAUCCAAAUAUCAAUCAAACGAACUCGAGACUUUAAACCACAGCCAGAGACCAUCUACUCGUCAGUGAAGUAGUCCACCAGUCCAACCACAGACGUCCAGCUGCUGGUCUCUAACUGGCCCCCAGCACCUGAGACAAGAGGACAUCCACAUGUUAAUUUUUCACUGAUUUAGACUAAAAUGAUUCAAAACUUCAAAAACGAUAUGAGGAUAUAUUUCUAACUGAAAAUUUAAAUGUGUAUUUUGCUGAAGUGACAAAGAAUAUAAAUAUGUUAAUGUGUUUCAUGGCCAGAGUAGCUUCACUGUUUAUGUUUAAAGUGUGACUCAAGCACCUUGUUCUUGUUCCAUCAGCUACUACUUAAUUUCUGUGCAUGGAUAAUAAAUCUUUGCUCUCACUUAUUUUCCUCGUGUGGUUUAAAAGGAAAUUAGUCAUAUAAAGUCUGCUGCCAUCUACUGGUAAAACUGAGCAAUACAAUAGAGCUCGAGCCAGACAUCACAAUUAUUAAUGAUAUUGGUAGAGAGAAAGACACAUUUACAUUCCAGCUCCAAAAAAAUCAGAAUAUUUGCAGUCUGGCACAGCACUAAGCAAAGCAGCUGCUUUUCACAUGACAAUACUUUGACAUUGUGACAUCUUUCAAUUGACUCGUGAAGUCAUUUGUGUUUAACUGCUUUUUAUCAAAAUAAUGGUUCCC